rnacentral:tRNA from 1 species
GGGCUGUUAGCUCAGUUGGUAGAGCAGCGGACUUUUAAUCCGUUUGUCACAGGUUCGAAUCCCGUACAGCCCACCA